rnacentral:snRNA from 1 species
AUACUUACCUGGCUGGGGAAAUACCAUGAUCUUGCUUAUCCAUUUGACUGGAGAUAUGCUGAAUUCUGUGAUUUCCCCAAAUUCAGGAAAUUCAACUGCAUUAUUUGUAAUAAUGGGGAACUGUGUUAAAGCUCUUCCCUG